CCUACGGGAGGCAGCAGUGAGGAAUAUUGGUCAAUGGACGAGAGUCUGAACCAGCCAAGUAGCGUGAAGGAUGACUGCCCUAUGGGUUGUAAACUUCUUUUAUAUGGGAAUAAAACAGGGUAUGCAUACCCUCUUGUAUGUACCAUAUGAAUAAGGAUCGGCUAAAUCCGUGCCAGCAGCCGCGGUAAUACGGAGGCUCCGAGCGUUAUCCGGAUUUAUUGGGUUUAAAGGGAGCGUAGGUGGAUUGUUAAGUCAGUUGUGAAAGUUUGCGGCUCAACCGUAAAAUUGCAGUUGAAACUGGCAGUCGUGAGUACAGUAGAGGUGGGCGGAAUUCGUGGUGUAGCGGUGAAAUGCUUAGAUAUCACGAAGAACUCCGAUUGCGAAGGCAGCUCACUGGACUGCAACUGACACUGAUGCUCGAAAGUGUGGGUAUCAAACAGGAUUAGAUACCCCAGUAGUC
rnacentral:rRNA from 1 species